rnacentral:rRNA from 1 species
GACAGAGGGGGCAAGCGUUGCUCGGAAUCACUGGGCGUAAAGGGCGCGUAGGCGGGAUGGCAAGUCGGUCGUGAAAUCCUUCGGCCCAACCGAAGAACGUCGGCCGAUACUGCCGUUCUUGAGGGAUGCAGAGGAGACUGGAAUUCCCGGUGUAGCGGUGAAAUGUGUAGAGAUCGGGAGGAACACCGAUGGCGAAGGCGGGUCUCUGGGCAUUUACUGACGCUGAGGCGCGAAAGCGUGGGGAUCAAACAGG